UGUAGGAGCCGGCUUGCUGGCGAUGCAGACAACGCGGUGUAACAAAUACACCGCGUUGAUGCUAUCGCCAGCAAGCCGGCUCCUACG
rnacentral:misc_RNA from 1 species